GUCAAAAACAACAUCUACCUAAACUGAUUUUGUAUUCAUAGAAGGAAUGGAGGAGAAAUGAGUAAAAAAAAAAAAUCUAUGUGGAACGAUUUGGAUUCAUAGAAGAAAUGGAGGAGAAAAUGCGGAGCAAUUUUUUUUUUAUUUCUUGUCAACCUCUUUGUUGCUACAAAGAAAGAGUACAAGAGUAGAAAAGAAAAUCUGCCCUGAAAUCCAUCAAUUUACUCCCACUUCCCCUCCUAUUUCUUUGUUAAUUUCUUCCUCUCUUUGUCCAGAACAGAGAGAAAGAUUAAGAGAGACGAGCGGAUAGUGAGAUGCUGAGAUAGAGGGAGAAGCUGAGAAACAAACUAAAAUAGCUAUUGCUGGAUACUGCUUCCUCAGGAAAGUGAUUUGCACACGAGAACAACUUGGCAUACAAAGUUUGUUGAUAAGAUUUUGGAGGCAGCGAAACCAAUUAGUUUGGAAGUUCCAUAGGCAACUGCAAAGUCGGAACAGGCCCUAUGCAAGUACUAGCUAACUUGAAGGUAGCUUACUAGGGAGAUCAAUGCACAUACGCAGGGAGUGGCAACAAAAAUUGAAUGCAAGAGAAGAGAUUGGCACAUGGACUAUUAAUUUAUUUUCCUAAAAAUUCAACGAAGACAAAUAAAUACAUUUUUAUUAUAUAGAAUAUUAAUUUAUUUUCCUAUAAUAGCAUAUUAAGAAUACAAACACAUGAUCUCUUUUGUGGUUACAAUAUGUGUUUGCCCUUUAUAGGAGUUUUUUUUUGUACAUCAUAUCUACUCACUUUUGUAAUGUUACUCAUGUGCAAGAAUUUAAA